rnacentral:rRNA from 1 species
GCGAGCGAAAAGAAAAUAGUUCAGCACUAAGUCACUUUGUCUAUAUGGCAAAUGUGAGAUGCAGUGUAUGGAAUAUCUUAAAUCUAGUAUGAGAAAUUAACGAUUUAAGUCCUUCUUAAAUGAGGCCAUUUACCCAUAGAGGGUGCCAGGCCCGUAUAACGUUAAUGAUUACUAGAAGAUGUUUCCAAAGAGUCGUGUUGCUUGAUAGUGCAGCACUAAGUGGGUGGUAAACUCCAUCUAAAACUAAAUAUAACCAUGAGACCGAUAGUAAACAAGUACCGUGAGGGAAAGUUGAAAAGAACUCUGAAUAGAGAGUUAAAUAGUACGUGAAACUGCUUAGAGGUUAAGCCCGAUGAACCUGAAUAUCCAUUAUAGAAAAUUCAUCAUUAUAACUUGUAAUAUGUUACAAUAUUAUAUAGUGAUAGUGUGCAUUUUUUCUAUAUAAGGACAUUGUAAUCUAUUAAUAUCAUUUUAUUUAUCAAAAGAUCAUUUGCUUAUGUUUAUUCAAAUUGGAUUGCUUGCAAUUUAACAUAGAAUAAAUGCUUAUGAUUUGAUAAAGUAUUGAUAGUUUUAUUAUAUAUAGUGCUUAAAAUUAUUAAUUUUUACGAUAACAUAUUUAUUUAAAAUAUUUAUGUUCAUUGUAUGCACUUAUAUGAUUAACAAUGCGAAAGAUUCAGGAUACCUUCGGGACCCGUCUUGAAACACGGACCAAGGAGUCUAACAUAUGUGCAAGUUAUUGGGUUAUAAAAAACCUAAUAGCGUAAUUAACUUAACUUGUUAUAAUGGGAUUAAUUUUUAUUCUAUUUAAUAGUUUAUUAAUUCAAUCCCGGGGCGUUCUAUAUAGUUAUGUAUAAUAAUAUUUAUAUUAUUUAUACCUCUAACUGGAGCGUACCUUGAGCAUAUAUGCUGUGACCCGAAAGAUGGUGAACUAUACUUGAUCAGGUUGAAGUCAGGGGAAACCCUGAUGGAAGACCGAAACAGUUCUGACGUGCAAAUCGAUUGUCAGAAUUGAGUAUAGGGGCGAAAG